rnacentral:tRNA from 1 species
GUGGCUGUAGCUCAGUAGGUAGAGCGCCUGGUUGUGGUCCAGGAGGUCGCGGGUUCAAACCCCGUCAGCCACC